rnacentral:misc_RNA from 1 species
CUUCAGCAAAUGUGACUUCGUGCAUAGCACCUUCAUGAUACUGGUUCCUUUGAUUUGAAUAGCAAUUCCUCAUCAUGUCAACACCAAAUUCUACUCACUAGGACUGGGAUCAAUAACCAAUAUCGCUUGGAUCUCCAAGAUACUCAGCAAUUUGUUCAAGCCGCACUUUGAGUAAAUCCUUUGUAUCACCAUCUCGGAUAACUCCAGUCUCCUUCUCACUAUCCUUCUCAACCAAGUGGCCAUACACGCCUUUGUUCCUACCAUACAGAACAAGAACCGGACCACCACGCUUAGGAAGAGCCGUCUCAAGCAAUUCCUGAUCCACACCUUGUAUCAACUCCCUAGUUUCAUCCAUACAUAUAUCACAACUCAUCGGUCCAACCACAUCCAUAAUUUCCCCUUUCUUUAGAUACAAUCUUCCCCUUUUCAAAUCCUUACUUAUAAUCCUAACUCUGAUGUGACUAGCAAGCCAAGAUACUUUAUCACUCCUUUCAUCUCUACUUCUUCUGCUUUCCUUUUUCCUCUCCGUUGUUGCUUCAUCUCUACUUCUACUUCCAGAUGACUGUUUCCUAACCCCAUCAAGAUGACUCUUUUCUUCUCUAAUCUUCAAUUCUAACAACUUCUUCAAACACCUCUCCUCCUCCACUGAACCCAAUUCGGCCAAGUCUCGUGCCUGAAGCUUCACCUCUUUGUCCGCAAGCUUUAAGAUCACCAACUCUCCUCUGCUAUUCACCUCCAAAACUUCUCCUUUCAUUCCCAUUUCCUUUCCUCUCACUACUCUCACUUUCUUCCCUACAUAUAAUCCUUUCCCUCCUUUUUCUCUAUCUAUCUUCUCAAUAUAACCAUCACUAUGAUCAACUUUAAUACCUUCUUCACCUUUUUUCUUAAUCGGCUUAACGCCUCCUUCAGCCUUACUACUAGGUUUUGGUACUUCAGGUAUGAAUCCAAUCCCUUCUUUAGCU